UACGUAGGGUGCAAGCGUUAAUCGGAAUUACUGGGCGUAAAGCGUGCGCAGGCGGCUUUGUAAGUCUGUUGUGAAAGCCCCGGGCUCAACCUGGGAAUUGCGAUGGAGACUGCAAGGCUUGAAUCUGGCAGAGGGGGGUAGAAUUCCACGUGUAGCAGUGAAAUGCGUAGAGAUGUGGAGGAACACCGAUGGCGAAGGCAGCCCCCUGGGUCAAGAUUGACGCUCAUGCACGAAAGCGUGGGGAGCAAACAGG
rnacentral:rRNA from 1 species